rnacentral:rRNA from 1 species
CAGUAGCCGCGGUAAUACGAGGGGGGCAAGCGUUGUUCGGAAUUAUUGGGCGUAAAGGGUGCGUAGGCGGCUUGACAAGUCUUGUGUGAAAUCUAUGGGCUCAACCCAUAGUCUGCACGGGAAACUGUCGGGCUUGAGAAUGGGAGAGGUGAGUGGAAUUUCCGGUGUAGCGGUGAAAUGCGUAGAUAUCGGAAGGAACACCUGUGGCGAAAGCGGCUCACUGGACCAUUUCUGACGCUGAUGCACGAAAGCUAGGGGAGCAAACAGGAUUAGAUACCCGGGUAGUCCCUGUCUAUUAUAC